rnacentral:lncRNA from 1 species
CAAGCACACUAAAGACCAAGCACACAAAUUACAAAGCACAAUACUCGCAGAUAUGGCAUCAACAACAAGUCUGGUUUUCUUCGCUCUACUCUUGAUCUUCAUUGCUGGUACCGAUCGACGAAACGUUUCUUCCAUGCUACGAAUCGAUCGUUUUUUUCAUCUCUGAUUAAUUUGAAUUUGCAGGAGGGAACAUCGAUGGAGCAGAAGGAAACAGAGUGAGCACUCCAACUGUCGUUAUUAAUUCGUGUUUUCCUACGUGUUUGCCGCCUUACUGCCGUUGCGAUUUCGGAAACUGCGACUGUACGGCAGUUCUGGAUCCUGCUCGGAUGUUGAAGAAUGGGCAUACUACUAGUGGGAAUAACUAGAACUUUUGUGUUUCCGAUUUGUUUACCAAGCUCGAAUUCUGCACAUCACAUAUGGACACUGAUAUACUUCUUUCGUUUCAUGUCUUUUGUAAUGAAAUUCUUGCCUUGUCUAUCUACGACAAAAUAAAUAUUUCCUGACUCGUAAUGACAAUGGCUUCAAUAAUCUACGUUAUCUUUUCGAAUAAUUUUUGUUAUCCACAACUCUAAUUUCGUCAUUUUUUCUGGAGGUUCAGAAUUGAUGUGUGGUUAUUUACAGUAAUGUUUUUUUUAUAAUUGAAAAAAGU